AUAGGCUUGGUCGACACGGGUUAAAGUGUAGUAUCUGUUCUUAUCAGCUUAAUAUGUGAUACGAGUUGUAUUGGGACUGCAGAUAACAAACUUAUUGUCCAAGUUGGCGGAAUGCUUGAAGCCUGCUUCACCUCCGUCGCGGGUCGGCCCAGUAUUGCAUUAUCUUCGAGAUCAGGCGACGGUUU